GAUGAAGAACGUAGCGAAAUGCGAUAAGUAAUGUGAAUUGCAGAAUUCAGUGAAUCAUCGAAUCUUUGAACGCACCUUGCACCCUUUGGCAUUCUGAAGGGUAUGCUCGUUUGAGUGUCAUUGUACUCUCACACUCCCGAUCUUUGCAUUGGGAGCAGUGGACUUGGGUUUGCUGCUUCACCGUCGCUUACCUCAAAUUGGUUAGUGCAACUCUUGGUUGGACAUAGUACGGCGUGAUAAGUGUUCUUCGCCGGUGCCUCGCAAAGAGGGUGGCCGAUCGGGAUGUUGUGCUCCAAACCGUCUUCGGACAAUCUCUGACGACUUGACCUCAAAUCGAGUAAGACUACCCGCUGAACUUAAGCAUAUCAAUAAGCGGAGGA
rnacentral:misc_RNA from 1 species